UGUGACAGCCACUCUUGUAAAACAACUCGCAGAGACCGGGGUUCAAACAAAACCAAAGGGUCCAGUAGCUUGGUCCUAUACAAAACAGGUGCCGGGAAUUGAACUCACGACCUUGCGCUUGCCAGGCAGUUGCUGCGCCGCUGAGCUAAAUCCCCAGGCCCUAGUGAGACAAACCUGAGCUGUACUGAGACUCAGAUUAGCAUGAAGCAUCUGAAACCACAAAUUAGGAGCAGCCUAGCUUGUGCUGGAGGUUAUAUGAGAUUGAUUGCCAUAUCUAUAGCUCAUAUACAAGACCCAAUAAAGACAAGCAACUCUGUAAGACAGCCCUACAAGCUACGGUGGUGUUACCAACCCAUGCUGAACAUGUACAGCUCCUGGUUGGUCAACACACCUCUCCGUGUCACACAAGAAGGAUCGAGUGAGGGAAGAUACAAGCAGUCUUCCAUCCAAAUAAUCU